AACAAUACAAUAGCAGAUUAGCAGUGCACUCAUAACAGAAAAACAAGACAACAAUACUAAGCCUAAAAACUGGUCAGCAAUACAUGCAAUAGCAGUGCACUCAUACAUUAUCUCCAUUUAGCAUAUAAAUCAACCAAAGCAAUCCUUAUGAUACAUUCAGUACCUAUACACCAUGCUAGUAAGUCCCUUAACGCAUUUAAUACUUAAUUAAAAUUUAUCUACUAAUCGUACUACCAUACACCUCACAAAAGAUUAGAACGUUUCAAGUGAGAUAUGAGAUAAGAAAAUUUCAACAUUCCACUUACAUUUUUUCCUUAGCCACUUCAUUACCGCCGUCCAACUUCAUCCACA
rnacentral:lncRNA from 1 species